AGGCCCUGACCCGCGCUGGACCCGCGCGCUAGGGCCCUGACGGCCCGCGCGGGCUCCAGGCGCGGGCAGCGGGGACGGCAUGCCCGAGAAGAGGCUCACCGCGGAGCCACCAACUAUUACAGAAGAAGAAUUUGAAGAUUCUCUGGCAACAGAUGAUUUCCUUGUAGACUACUUUAAUGAAUUCCUAAGCCUUCCAGUGAGUUUAUUAUUAUGAUCUAUUGAAUAUAUAUUAUCAAAGCAAAAUAUUUUAAUCACUGGGUUAUCUUGUGAAACCAAUUUAUCAGGGAUAAUGCUUUUUAAAAAAAUAUUAAAGCAUUUAGGUAAAGGUUUUAUCUUUUUACAUAGUUAAUCAUUUGGAUUUGAAUCAUAUUUAGAAAUUAUUCUUAUUGAAGAAAUCUGGAGUUUUUCUAACCAUUAAAAAGCAUUCUGUACAAACUCUGGUUCAGCUGUAUUUGGCACCAUGUUAGGCUUUUUUUUUUGA
rnacentral:lncRNA from 1 species